CAACCCUCAAGCAAUGCUUGGUGUUGGGCCGCGCCGCUAACCCGGCGGGCCCUAAAACCAGUGGCGGUGCCGUCGGGCUCUGAGCGUAGUAAUUCUUCUCGCUAUAGAGCCCCGGCGGAUGCUAGCCAGCAACCCCCAAUUUUCUAU
rnacentral:misc_RNA from 1 species